AUUGAACGCUGGCGGCAGGCCUAACACAUGCAAGUCGAGCGAGCGGCGGACGGGUGAGUAAUGUAUGGGGACUGCCCGAUAGAGGGGGAGAACUACUGGAAACGGUAGCUAAUACCGCAUACUAUCGGAUAACCCAUAUGUGAGUAGCUCGUAGGUGAGGUAAAGGCUCACCAAGGCAACGAUCCGUAGCUGGGUUGAGAGGACGACCAGCCACACUGGGACUGAGACACGGCCCAGACGCCUACGGAGGCAGCAGUGGGGAAUGUUGGACAAUGGGGGAAACCCUUAUCCAGCCAUCCCGCGUGUAUGAUGAAGGCCUUCGGGUUGGAAAGUACUUUUGGCAGAGAAGCGGUAGCUGCAGAAUAAGCACCGGCUAACUACGUGCCAGCAGCCGCGGUAAUAC
rnacentral:rRNA from 1 species